UGGGGAAUCUUGCGCAAUGGGCGAAAGCCUGACGCAGCAACGCCGCGUGGGGGAUGAAUGCCUUCGGGUUGUAAACCCCUUUCAGCAGGAACGAAAAUGACGGUACCUGCAGAAGAAGCCCCGGCCAACUACGUGCCAGCAGCCGCGGUAAUACGUAGGGGGCAAGCGUUGUCCGGAUUUAUUGGGCGUAAAGAGCUCGUAGGCGGCUUGGCAAGUCGGGUGUGAAAACUUCAGGCUCAACCUGGAGAUGGCACUCGAUACUGCUAUGGCUAGAGUCCGGUAGGGGACCACGGAAUUCCUGGUGUAGCGGUGAAAUGCGCAGAUAUCAGGAGGAACACCGGUGGCGAAGGCGGUGGUCUGGGCCGGCACUGACGCUGAGGAGCGAAAGCGUGGGGAGCAAACAGG
rnacentral:rRNA from 1 species